AAGGUGUCCUCUUGCCUCAGCCUCCCAAAGUGCUGAGAUUACAGGUGUGAGCCACCGUGUCUGGCCAUACAUACAUACGUUCACGAGACACCCGAAACUGCUUAUUUUAUGGCAGCCUAACCACAUCACACCCAGCAUCUCACUUGAGACAAAUCUGUCGUCUGAGCAUAUUGAAGCCUUGCUGUGACUCGACUGGUUGAAGGACUUGCGAAAUUGCACGGUUCUGAAGAGACAACCCGAGGAACGAGGAUCCAGCAAGAAAUCCCCCCAAACUUGAUGGAAUUCUUUCUCCACCACUGCUGCAAGAGGACCAGAUCUCCCUCUGCCAACAGAUGGGGCGGGGUAACACUGGAAAUAUGUUACAGGCCAGGUUCAGAUGCCACAAGAGUAGCCUCAAGAUUUUGCACAUAACUUCGGAAGAAACCCCAGCAUAAUAGAAAGGUCCAACAGUUGAAACUAUGCAUUCCAAGUAGAAUCUGGUUGGAAUAAAAGGAUCUGAACCAGCUUUAAUCAUCAAAGGAAAAAUAUGCUGUUUAUAAUAUUGAAAUAAAAAUAGGGAAGAUUUCAAUUCUUUGGGAUAAUUACCCAGAAGUGGAAUUGCUGGAUCAUAUGGUAAUUGUAUUUUUAAUUGAGAAACCUCCAUACUGUUGUCCACAGCAUUAUACUAUAUUGCACUCCCAUCGGUGGUGUGCAAAGAUUCCAAUUUCUCCAUAUCUGCAUUAACACUUGUCUUUUUUUUAAAUCACUGUUGUUUUGAUUUGUAGUUCUUUGAUGACUAGGGGCAUUGGGCAUUUUUUCAUAUACCUGAUGGUCAUUUGUAUGUCUUCAUUGGAAAAAUGUCUUUUCAAGUCCUUAAUCCAGUUUUUAAUCAGGUCAUUCAUUUUUUUUUCUUUUUCUAUUGCCUUGUAGGAGAGCCUUCUAAAUAUUGGAGAUGACCCUUUAUCAGAUAUAUGUGUUUCAAAUAUUUUUUCCCAUUCCAUUGGUUGUCUUUUCACUCUGCCAAUUGUUUCCUUUGCUAUGCAUAAGCUUUUUAGUUUGAUAUAGUACCAUUUGUUUAUUUUGUUUUUGUUACCAGAAUUAAAAUCAGGAUCCAAAGAGAUAUUGACAUUCUCAUGUCUGUUGCAGCGCUAUUAAUAACCAAGAUGUAGAAACAACUAAAGGUCCAUCCACAAAUGAAUAGAUAGAGAAAAUGUGGUGCACACAUACAAUGGAAUGCUAGUCAGCCUUUACAAAGGAGUAAAUUCUGCAAUAUGUCACAACAUGAAUGAACUUUGAGGACGUUAUGUUAAAUGGAAUAAGCCAGUCACAGAAAGAUGAAUACUGCAGGGUUCCAAUUACAUGAGGUAUCUCGAACAGUCAAAUUUAUAGGAUCAAACAGUGGAAUGGUGGUUGUCAGGGCAGGGGAAAGGGAAAAUAGAGUUACCAAUCAGUUAAGCAAGAUGAAUAAGCUUCAGAGAUCAGCUACACAACACUGUCUUUAUAAUCAACAAUAAUAUGCUAUACACUUAAAAUUUGUUAACAGGGUAGAACUUAUUUAUGUUAUGUGUUCUUACCACAAGAAAAUAAAACUUUUUUUUUCUUUUGAGAUGGA
rnacentral:lncRNA from 1 species